rnacentral:rRNA from 1 species
GACGAACGCUGGCGGCGUGCUUAACACAUGCAAGUCGAGCGGUAAGGCCCUUUCGGGGGUACACGAGCGGCGAACGGGUGAGUAACACGUGGGUGACCUGCCUUUAGCUCUGGGAUAAGCCUGGGAAACCGGGUCUAAUACCGGAUAUGACUCCGCGGUGCAUGCUGUGGGGUGGAAAGCCUUGUGCGGCUGAAGAUGGGCCCGCGGCCUAUCAGCUUGUUGGUGGGGUGAUGGCCUACCAAGGCGA